UACGUAGGGGGCAAGCGUUGUCCGGAAUCAUUGGGCGUAAAGAGCGUGUAGGCGGCCAGAAAAGUCCGCUGUGAAAACUCGAGGCUCAACUUCGAGCUGUCGGUGGAAACUUUCUGGCUAGAGUCCGGAAGAGGAGAAUGGAAUUCCUGGUGUAGCGGUGAAAUUCGUAGAUAUUCGGAAGAACACCAGUGGCGAAGGCGACUCACUGGACACGUAUUGACGCUGAGGUGCGAAAGCGUGGGGAGCAAACAGG
rnacentral:rRNA from 1 species